GAUCUUACUUCGUCUCUGGUUCCCAG
rnacentral:piRNA from 1 species